rnacentral:rRNA from 1 species
GUGAGGAAUAUUGGUCAAUGGGCGCAAGCCUGAACCAGCCAUCCCGCGUGCAGGAAGACGGCCCUAUGGGUUGUAAACUGCUUUUCCAGGAGACGAAUAGUCUUUACGUGUAAGGGCAUGACGGUACCCUGGGAAUAAGCAUCGGCUAACUCCGUGCCAGCAGCCGCGGUAAUACGGAGGAUGCAAGCGUUAUCCGGAUUCAUUGGGUUUAAAGGGUGCGUAGGCGGGCUAUUAUGUCAGUGGUGAAAUCCUGCAGCUUAACUGCAGAACUGCCGUUGAAACUGAUAGUCUUGAGUUUGGUUAAGGUAGGCGGAAUGUGUAAUGUAGCGGUGAAAUGCUUAGAUAUUACACAGAACACCGAUUGCGUAGGCAGCUUACUGAGCCGACACUGACGCUGAGGCACGAAAGCGUGGGGAUCGAACAGGAUUAGAAACCCGAGUAGUCC